GAGUUUGAUCGUGGCUCAGGACGAACGCUGGCGGCGUGCUUAACACAUGCAAGUCGAGCGGAAAGGCUUCCUUCGGGAAGUACUCGAGCGGCGAACGGGUGAGUAACACGUGGAUAAUCAACCUCUUGCUCUGGAAUACCCCGGGGAAACUCGGAUCAAUGCCAGAUAAAGUGCGGUGCUGUCGGGCGCCGUACCAAAGAUAGCUUCGGCCUUCGGCGAGAGACGAGUCCGCGGCCCAUUAGCUAGUUGGCGGGGUAAAGGCCCACCAAGGCUACGAUGGGUAGCUGGUCUGAGAGGAUGAUCAGCCACACUGGGACUGAGACACGGCCCAGACUCCUACGGGAGGCAGCAGUGGGGAAUCUUGCGCAAUGGGCGAAAGCCUGACGCAGCAACGCCGCGUGCGGGAGGAAGGCCUUCGGGUU
rnacentral:rRNA from 1 species